AUGUGUCAGGGGUUCAGGAACAGAGGCACAGGGUAGGCAGGAGAUGGAGAGCGAUGGGGAUGAAUCCCAGGACAGCGAGGAAGAGGAUGACAAUGACUCAAGAGAUUCCAUGAGUCUUUCCAGCGAAUCAGAGGAUUCCCAGAAGGGGGCGCCGGUGGUCAAGGCCAGGGGAGCCCCAGGGGGGACGUGUCAGGAGCAGGGGGCCAGCGGGGGAUCCCAAAGUGGCAGCUGGGCGUCAGGACCAGCCUCCCCGCCAGAGUGCAGCGAAGGGGGUGGAGGUUUCAGUGUAUCAGGGGAAGCGGCUCCGGCAGCAGAGAAGGGAGGGAGGUCGGAGCAAGCCACCCUCCCGGAAGGGGAGGGGGAGUAGUGAAGGGAGUAGUGUAGCUGUUAAAAGGAAGGUUAGAGGUUGGCGCGCGCGCCCAAGUUCAAAUGUAGAGGCGCGCGGAAGUACAGGGAGCCCGGAGGAGGGGCCAGGUCCCAAAGCCCGCAGGAGGGGGCAAGAGCAGUCUGGGGAUUCCGCGUCAGAGGAAUCCAGGAGGGGCGAAACCCCAGCGGGCAGAAAGACCCUGCGGAAAAGGAAAGAGAGAAAGAGGUGGAGCAGCGCAAGCCUCUUAAACUGGUGCAGGGGAGGGACGGAUUCAGAGGGGACUUCAGCGGUCUAAGCGUAGCAGACGUAGGGCUGCGCGCCUCGGAUGUGAAGCAAACAAUGAACUGCAAUAAACACUUUUGUAUAUAAGAAGAGAUAGGCGUUGGUCUUUUGUGAGCUGAGACUUGAGGCAGCCCUGACAGUAAGUCCCCUCUCAAAAAACCGCAAAAAAUUUUUUUUGCAAAGCUCACGAAGUUUGGCAGACAUGACUACUGAGGAGCAGAUAACGACCCUGCAAAACGCAGUCGCUGAACUCUCCGUUGCAGUACGGGUCUCUCAGAAGACAGUUGCCGAAGCAGAAGCGCGAUGCCAGGAUCUGCAAGCCAGGUGGGAUCGGGCGUGCAAAGAGGGGUUCCCGGGGUCCAGAUCAGAGGGAAUCGGACUCGGACGGAGGGGGGGCAAUUUAGUAGCCCACUUCGAUGGGAACCUGAAGCAUUAUCCCAAUUUCAGAGCAGACGUCGUAUACGCGCUGCAUUUGCUUCGAAAAGACUUCAAAGAUGAGGAGGAGAAAGUAGGCUUUAUUGUGUCCCAUUUGCAUGGGGAAGCUAGAACCUGGUUACGCAAUUUGUGGCGCGAAGAUGGUCUUGCCCGCAGGGACUCUGACGAAUUUAUCAAAGCCAUGGACGCUUGCUUCCAAUCUACCGUUGACGUUGAUGUGGCGCGCCAGGAGAUGCAUGGAUUGCGGCAGGGCAAGGCUACAGUGCGUCAGUACCAUUCUCGCUGGUUUGCAUUGCUGAAUGUGCUGGGCUGGGCAAAGGACUCCCUGGCCGGGUGCGACUUGUUCUGGGCGGGGCUUCAUGGCUCAGUAAAAGAUGAGCUGGCUAGGGAGACAGACCUCAAACCCUAGCAGACGUCGUGCAGAGGGCACUCACGAUAGGGGUGCGCCACGAAGAACGCCCUUGGCACAGUGAGGAGGGGCGUCACGUCCGCCCACCAGCUAGAGCGCCUCCUUUUCUUCCCAGGGACCUGGGACGUACAAAUCCCUCGCCUAUGCUGAAGGGGGAGGAACCAAUGGAGCUGGGUGGUGCAAAGGCUCAGACAGCUGCCGGAGCCUCAGCGUCCGGAGCAGUCAAGGCGAAGCCUCCUAGAGGGACCAGGAAGUGUUACAUCUGUGACAGUGCACAGCACAUGGCUAAAGAGUGUCCCCAGAGGCUCCAGAAGCACACUGCAGCCUUAGCAACAGUAACAGGGGAAGCGUUCCAAGGAGAACAGUUUCAGGGAAACGAGAAUGCCUGGCUGGAAGCAGAGAUGCUGGGGCUCCGCCAGGCAAGUCAGUGAAGCAGUCCCCAGCGCUUUUGCAGCCUACAGACCCCUUACCACCCAAGCCAGUGGUGCAGCUCACUGCUACUCUCCAGCUACCUAAUGGACUCACCCUGGAAGUCCCCAUUACGAUUGACUCAGGGAGCAACGCAGACUUCGUGGGGAUGCAGUUCAUCAAGCAGCAUCGCAUAGCGCUACUACCAGCCACGCUGCCUCUGAACGUCGUCACGGUAGAUGGCAGGAAGUUGCUGGGUGGGCAAGUGGUACAACAGACGCCACCCAUGCUGCUGAAAAUUGGGAAUCAUCGCGAGGUCAUCAGUUUCAAUGUCACCCAACUGUCAGACACGCCUAUAGUGUUAGGCAUGAGUUGGCUGGAUAGACACAGCCCAUCAUUAGCGUGGUACCAGCGGCAGCUCACCUUUGGCUCGUCCUACUGCGCACAACAUUGCAUCCAGACCGGCCAGGAGGAGGAGGGCCAGGAGGAAGGGCAACAGUUGCAUCUAGGCAUGGUGCAGGCAGUGCCCCACAAGUACAAGGGGUUUUUGGAGGUCUUCUGCGAAAAGGAAGCUGACCAAUUACCACCCCACCGGCCCUACGACUGUGCAAUUGACCUCUUACCAGGGGCGACGCUACCGACUGCGAAGCUGUAUUCCAUGUCUGAAGAUGAGAUGCAGGAACUCAGGGAGUUCAUAGAUCACAAUUUGAAGCGGGGAUUCAUCCGAGAAUCCAAGGCAGUGGGGGGCAGUCCUGUGUUUUUCGUGAAGAAGAAGGACACGCCCCAAAAACGGCUCAUUGUGGACUAUAGGGCCAUAAACUCGAUGACAAAGCCCAAGGCCUUCCCCAUGCCCAAGAUUGACGACCUGCUCGCGACGGUGAGGAAGGGGAGGAUCUUCACCAAGUUGGAUCUACGCGGAGCAUACAAUCUAAUACGCAUGAGGGAAGGUGACGAGUGGAAGACGGCCAUGUUCACGCCGCUGGGCACCUAUGAAUACAGAGUUAUGCCGUUUGGUCUCCAAAAUGGCUCCCACUGUUUCCAAGCAUUCAUGCACCACGUGCUAGCAGGACUCCUCUACAAGAAGUGCGUAUGCUUCCUCGACGACAUUCUGAUCUUCUCAGAAUCGCAGGAGACUCACGAGAGAGACGUAAAGGAGGUCCUGCAGAGGCUACGGGAGCACAGACUCUACGCCAAGCUGGAGAAGUGCCAGUUCGACGUGACGGAGGUGGAUUUCCUGGGCUACCGGCUGUCCGACAAGGGACUAGCCAUGGACAGCGCCAAAGUCCGCGCGGUGUUGGACUGGAAUAGCCCGCGCAAUCGGAAGGAGGUCCAGAGGUUUGUCGGUUUCGCCAACUUGUACCGCAAGUUCAUCAGGGGUUUCGCGAAAGAGACGGCAGCUAUCACGGACACCCUCAGUUCCAAGAAGAAAAAGUUCACCUGGACGGACCAGGCGGAGCAGUCCUUCAGGAGACUUAAGAGCCUCUUCGCGUCCGAAGACCAGCUGCUACACGUGAAUCCCGGCAGGCCCAUGCGGGUUGAGACUGACGCAUCUGACAGAGCAUUGGGGCCGUCCUCUUGCAGGAAGAUCCGCAAGGGAACUGGAGGCCCUGCGCUUUCUAUUCCCGGAAGCUCAGCAAGUCGGAACAGAACUACACCAUCUGGGACAGGGAGUUGUUGGCCAUCCACGCGGCUUUCAAGGCGUGGCGGCACUUCCUCAUCGGAGCCAAGCACACCGUGCAGGUCCGCACGGACCACAAGAACCUAGAGUAUUGGCGCACGGCGAAGCUCCAGAGCCAGAGGCACAUGAGAUGGGCGGAGUUCUUUGCGGAUUUCGAUUUCCGGAUAGAGUAUAUCCCGGGAGACAACAACGUCAUAGCGGAUGCGCUCUCCAGGAAACCGCAGUAUCUCGAGGAAGCGGCACCAGUGGCAGCCAGGCACAUUUUCGCACCGCAAGCGUGGGCGUGCGCUUCCGCCGCCGUGGACCUGGACGCGGUACGACGCGCGCUACAGACGGAUCCGUUCGCACAAUCCAAGAUGGAGGAGGUGCGAAGAGGGACAGCAAAGGACGGCGAAUUCCAGAUACGCGACGGCCUGCUGACCCGCAAAGGUGCUCUCUACGUGCCGGGAGACGAUCUCCGCGCGAAGGUUUUACAGCAGUUACACGACGCACCCAGCGCGGGUCACUUCGGCAAAGAAAAGACGGCGGACUUAGUAGCCAGAGACUUUUGGUGGCCCCAGAUGCGGGGAGAGGUCGCGGAUUACGUCGCCAGGUGUGACACUUGUCAGAGGUCCAAGCCAGUGCACAAGAAGCCAGCGGGAUUGCUGGAACCGCUGGAGACGCCACUGCAGCCGUGGGAAAGGGUGGCGCUGGACUUUGUUACUGAUCUGCCCAGUUCGCGGGGCAAGACGGCGGUGCUUGUGGUUGUAGAUCUGUUCACCAAGAUGGCGCACUUCAUUCCUUGCGCGAAGGUGGCAACAGCGGAACAGACCGCCAAGCUGUUCAUAGACCACGUGUUCCGGGUGCACGGCUUACCGCGGUCCAUCCUGUCCGACCGGGGUCGCCAAUUCAUUUCCAGUUUCUGGCAGAAGCUCCUGGGCAUCCUGAAUGUCAAGAUCAACUUAGCGUCGGCGAGACACCCGCAAACCAACGGCCAAGCGGAGAGGGUCAACGCCAUCAUGCAGCAGUACCUGCGAUGUUACGCCAAUCAAAAGCCUGCAACUUGGGUGGACUACUUACCGAUGGCCGAGUUUGCCUACAACAACACGAAGCACGCGUCAACGGGGGUGACACCGUUCUUCGCCAACAAUGGGCGACAUCCCAGAACCUUCCCGGCGUUGGAGACAACGACGCAGAGGAGUCGCAGGGAGCUGAGCAUUUAGCAGCAGAAUUGCAGGAGGUCCACGAGGAGCUACGACGGCACUUGGAACUAGCUAAACACGCCUACAAAGUGCAGGCAGACAGGCACAGGAGGGCAGGAGAAGACAUCCAGGUGGGGGACUGGGUAUGGUUAGCAGCCCAGGCGGUGCCGGCCAAGUCGUUAGCUAAGAAGAAGCUAGGACACAAACAGCUAGGGCCAUACCAAGUUGAGGGCAGGAUCAAUCCCGUAGCUUUUCGGUUGACCCUCCCAGAAGGUUCCAGAAUGCACCCGGUCUUUCAUAGGUCGGUGCUUACACCCUACAAGGCCCCACACAGAUUUCAGGAGCCAGGGACGGCACCAGACCCACGUAGAAAGUCACCCGGGGGGAAGUCACCGAGGACCCCGACACUCAACGAGGUCACGGAAAUUCUGGACUCGAGAUGGGGGGAGGAGGGAGUGGAAUACCUCCUCGCCAGGGAAGGUACCCCGGCCAGCGCCAACAGUUGGGUGCCAGAUUAUGCUCUGGAGGAACCUCUUCUUAAAGACGAGUUCCAUGCACUCUUCCCACACAGGCCCAUGCCAGCGGAGUAUUUUGACGACUGGCUUUUUACGCCCACACUUUCAGGCAGCACCUUCCGGGGGUCUCCUCUGCGGAGGAGACCACGCCGGAAUCGAGCCCUCCAAGGGGAUCGUGCUCAGGGGUGGACACGGACCGCUCUUAUUGGUGGGACGAUCAACCAGAAGUGGGGUGGCGAAGGGGGCCUUGGCAAGCAGCAUCGCCUGAAGUAACAGGGGGAGGGAAGGGUUUGGAUGUGUUGGGGGAGGACCCCGGUUUCGAGCACUCAUACACUGAACUGGAAGCAGAGGAGAUCGACGUCGAUGAACUGUAUCCAGCAUCUACCCCCGCUACAACGGAGCUCCCGGAACCUGCGCCCGAGCAGCGGGAGGGGGGAAGGGGGGGCUUCGAGGGGGGGAUGGAUGUCAGGGGUUCAGGGACAGAGGCACAGGGUAGGCAGGAGAUGGAGAGCGAUGGGGAUGAAUCCCAGGACAGCGAGGAAGAGGAUGACAAUGACUCAAGAGAUUCCAUGAGUCUUUCCAGCGAAUCAGAGGAUUCCCAGAAGGGGGCGCCGGUGGUCAAGGCCAGGGGAGCCCCAGGGGGGACGUGUCAGGAGCAGGGGGCCAGCGGGGGAUCCCAAAGUGGCAGCUGGGUGUCAGGACCAGCCUCCCCGCCAGAGUGCAGCGAAGGGGGUGGAGGUUUCAGUGUAUCAGGGGAAGCGGCUCCGGCAGCAGAGAAAGGAGGGAGGUCGGAGCAAGCCACCCUCCCGGAAGGGGAGGGGAGUAGUGAAGGGAGUAGUGUAGCUGUUAAAAGGAAGGUUAGAGGUUGGGCGCGCGCGCCAAGUUCAAAUGUAGAGGCGCGCGGAAGUACAGGGAGCCCGGAGGAGGGGCCAGGUCCCAAAGCCCGCAGGAGGGGGCAAGAGCAGUCUGGGGAUUCCGCGUCAGAGGAAUCCAGGAGGGGCGAAACCCCAGCGGGCAGAAAGACCCUGCGGAAAAGGAAAGAGAGAAAGAGGUGGAGCAGCGCAAGCCUCUUAAACUGGUGCAGGGGAGGGACGGAUUCAGAGGGGACUUCAGCGGUCUAAGCGUAGCAGACGUAGGGCUGCGCGCCUCGGAUGUGAAGCAAACAAUGAACUGCAAUAAACACUUUUGUAUAUAAGAAGAGAUAGGCGUUGGUCUUUUGUGAGCUGAGACUUGAGGCAGCCCUGACACCAUGUUUU